CUAGUACUCCCUUCGUCCGAAAUUACUUGUCGCUCAAAUGGAUGUAUCUAGAUAUAUUUCAGUGCUCGAUACUUCCAUUUGAGCGACAUGUAAUUCCGGACCGAGGUAGUAUAAU
rnacentral:pre_miRNA from 1 species